UUGCAUAGCCUCAGAGAUCAUGAGCAUCUUGGUUCCCUUUGCCUUUGAGUGGGACUCCUUGUGAUUGGUUUGAGAUCAACAAGCAUGCUUGAAUUAUACAUCAUUGUUUCUCUUACUUUUGUUUACUAAAAAAAAAUUUAAAAUAAAUAAAUAAAUAAAUAAAUAAAUAAUAAAAAAAAAUAAUAAAAAAAAAUAUAACAAAAAAAAUUUUUGGACUUAGGCCUUU
rnacentral:lncRNA from 1 species